rnacentral:lncRNA from 1 species
GGCUACUAAAUUUCUUCCAUAGUGUAUUUCAUAAAGGAGAAGAUGCUGAUAAGAUCUCGUUUAAAUGGCUUGCUAAUACAAGAAGCAGAUCAUUUUAAAUGGACCUUACAUCUUUAUAGGAUGUUAGAAAUGAAGACAUUACCUCAAAAUAAAUUGGAUGCUUGUAUAUACCUCUCAGCAUCUUUGAAGGGGCACUGAAACUUCAAUCAAAUUUGGAAAAGGGAGCGCUGAACUUUAGACCUGCUUUAAAUGUGCAGAGGUAGGAUUGAGACUUUCUUUCCUUUCUAAAAUACCUCUCAUGAUUCUUAACUACUUUUAUAGAGUCCUUGAGCCUUGAGUCUCAGC